rnacentral:rRNA from 1 species
UACGUAGGGUCCGAGCGUUGUCCGGAAUCAUUGGGCGUAAAGCGCGUGUAGGCGGCCCGGUAAGUCCGCUGUGAAAGUCCAGGGCUCAACCCUGGAAUGCCGGUGGAUACUGUCGGGCUCGAGUCCGGAAGAGGCGAGUGGAAUUCCUGGUGUAGCGGUGAAAUGCGCAGAUAUCAGGAGGAACACCAAUGGCGAAGGCAGCUCGCUGGGACGGUACUGACGCUGAGACGCGAAAGCGUGGGGAGCAAACAGG